GAUGAAGAACGUAGCGAAAUGCGAUAAGUAGUGUGAAUUGCAGAAUUCAGUGAAUCAUCGAAUCUUUGAACGCACAUUGCGCCCCUUGGUAUCCCGAGGGGCAUGCCUGUUCGAGCGUCAUUUCACCACUCAAGCCUGGCUUGGUGUUGGGCGACGUCCCCUUUGGGGACGCGCCUCGAAACUCUCGGCGGCGUGGCACCGGCUUUAAGCGUAGCAGAAUCUUUCGCUUUGGAAGUCGGGGCCCCGUCUGCCGGAAGACCUACUCGCAAGGUUGACCUCGGAUCAGGCAGGGAUACCCGCUGAACUUAAGCAUAUCAAUAAGCGGAGGA
rnacentral:misc_RNA from 1 species